rnacentral:rRNA from 1 species
CAGUAGCCGCGGUAAUACGUAGGGUGCGAGCGUUAAUCGGAAUUACUGGGCGUAAAGCGUGCGCAGGCGGUUUUGUAAGACAGGCGUGAAAUCCCCGGGCUCAACCUGGGAAUGGCGCUUGUGACUGCAAAGCUAGAGUGCGGCAGAGGGGGAUGGAAUUCCGCGUGUAGCAGUGAAAUGCGUAGAUAUGCGGAGGAACACCGAUGGCGAAGGCAAUCCCCUGGGCCUGCACUGACGCUCAUGCACGAAAGCGUGGGGAGCAAACAGGAUUAGAUACCCCGGUAGUCCCUGUCUCUUAUAA